CAAAGUUCAUCCCAUGCGCCUGCGGGCUGCGGCUCUCUCCCCCUUCUCCUCCUUCCUUCCCUCCCUCCCUCCAUCCGCGUCGCUCGUUCAAUGGUGGUAGUUCGUGGUGCAUUGGCCCUCUUGCAGUGCUGGCAUUUUGCUGUGGGGUCUUUGUCUGGUGAUGAUCAGUCUACAAUACGUUUGAUUAUCAUGCCGUUGUGCAGAGGAAACAGAGUAAAGAAAAUCCAAGUUCUGCAUGGUUUAAUGUUGCUUCACAUUUGGCCUGGUACAAAUCUAUCUGCACAGAGAAACAAUGGAGCAUUCAAUCGGGGCAACAUUGCUGAUCCAGUCUCAGGAUGAUCUGCUGUGUCUUCUAAUAUCUUUGUUUCUCGUUUGGAAAAAAAAUUCAAGCAAAGAUUACAGAUUGAUAAUAAAUGGAUCGAAUUUUUGCUCGUGCUA